rnacentral:rRNA from 1 species
GGGUUAAGUCCUUCAACGAGCGAAACCCCUGUCUCUAGUUGCCAGCAUUCAGUUGGGGACUCUAGAGAGACCGCCGGCGUCAAGCCGGAGGAAGGCGGGGACGACGUCAAGUCAUCACGGCCUUUAUGUCCAGGGCUGCACACGUGCUACAAUGGGGCGUACAAAGGGACGCAAACGCGCGAGCGGGAGCAAAUCUCAAAAAGCGCCCCCCAGUUCAGAUUGCAGGCUGCAAUUCGCCUGCAUGAAGCCGGAAUCGCUAGUAAUCGCAGAUCAGCUAUGCUGCGGUGAAUGUGUUCCUGAGCCUUGUACACACCGCCCGUCAAGCCACGAAAGCGGGGAGCAUCCCAAGUCGCCGCGUCAACCGUAAGGAGACAAGCGCCUAAGAUGAGCUCCGUGAUUGGGACUAAGUCGUAACAAGGUAACC